GGAGGAAAGUAGGGGAUCGAAAGACCUUGCGCUUUGGGAGCGGCCGAUGUCUGAUUAGCUAGUUGGUGGGGUAAAGGCCUACCAAGGCGACGAUCAGUAGUUGGUCUGAGAGGACGACCAGCCACACUGGGACUGAGACACGGCCCAGACUCCUACGGGAGGCAGCAGUGGGGAAUUUUGGACAAUGGGCGCAAUGNAUCCAGCAAUGCCGCGUGAGUGAAGAAGGCCUUCGGGUUGUAAAGCUCUUUCAGUCGAGAAGAAAAAGCUGCAGUGAAUAACUGUAGUUCAUGACGGUAUCGACAGAAGAAGCACCGGCUAACUACGUGCCAGCAGCCGCGGUAAUACGUAGGGUGCGAGCGUUAAUCGGAAUUACUGGGCGUAAAGGGUGCGCAGGCGGCUUUGUAAGUCAGAUGUGAAAUCCCCGGGCUUAACCUGGGAAUUGCGUUUGAACUACAAAGCUAG
rnacentral:rRNA from 1 species